CCUACGGGACGCCGCCGUGGGGCCUCUUGCCCCCUGGGGGGCCCCCUGCUGCAGCGACGCCGCGUGAGCGAAGAAGUAUUUCGGUAUGUAAAGCUCUAUCAGCAGGGAAGAAAAUGACGGUACCUGACUAAGAAGCCCCGGCUAACUACGUGCCAGCAGCCGCGGUAAUACGUAGGGGGCAAGCGUUAUCCGGAUUUACUGGGGGUAAAGGGAGCGCAGGCGGCGCGGUAAGUCUGAUGUGAAAGCCCGGGGCUCAACCCCGGGACUGCAUUGGCAACUGUCAUGCUGGAGUGUCGGAGGGGGAG
rnacentral:rRNA from 1 species